GCCCAGACUCCUACGGGAGGCAGCAGUAGGGAAUCUUCCGCAAUGGACGAAAGUCUGACGGAGCAACGCCGCGUGAGUGAUGAAGGUUUUCGGAUCGUAAAGCUCUGUUGUUAGGGAAGAACAAGUACCGUUCGAAUAGGGCGGUACCUUGACGGUACCUAACCAGAAAGCCACGGCUAACUACGUGCCAGCAGCCGCGGUAAUACGUAGGUGGCAAGCGUUGUCCGGAAUUAUUGGGCGUAAAGGGCUCGCAGGCGGUUUCUUAAGUCUGAUGUGAAAGCCCCCGGCUCAACCGGGGAGGGUCAUUGGAAACUGGGGAACUUGAGUGCAGAAGAGGAGAGUGGAAUUCCACGUGUAGCGGUGAAAUGCGUAGAGAUGUGGAGGAACACCAGUGGCGAAGGCGACUCUCUGGUCUGUAACUGACGCUGAGGAGCGAAAGCGUGGGGAGCGAACAGGAUUAGAUACCCUGGUAGUCCACGCCGUAAACGAUGAGUGCUAAGUGUUAGGGGGUUUCCGCCCCUUAGUGCUGCAGCUAACGCAUUAAGCACUCCGCCUGGGGAGUACGGUCGCAAGACUGAAACUCAAAGGAAUUGACGGGGGCCCGCACAAGCGGUGGAGCAUGUGGUUUAAUUCGAAGCAACGCG
rnacentral:rRNA from 1 species